CUCCCAAAUCUCUGGCAGGAGGGGCUGCCUGGGACACCCUGGCAGUGGGAGGGCAUCUCUCCAUCCCUCUCAUGUUGGGGUUGGCCAUAGUGCCUGGAACUCAAUGAAGCUUGCCUUCACUGGGACCUUUCCCUUCCAUACCCCUGGACGUGUGGUCAGGAGCAUUGGGGGCUCUGCACAGCAGGAGGUGAAGGGCCCUGGGAGCACAGUCCACCCCAGCCAGAGCACAGGGUCCAUCCAAGGCCAGCACUGGCCUGGCACUGCCCUCGGCCUGAGUCCCGAUGGCAGGGGAGGGUACUGGCUUCACCAACACCCAAGACCUUUAGAGCCGUACCUAGCGAAGCUGACCCCCUGUUCCAGGCAGGGUCUAUUCCAGGCAUGGUGCUGUCCUGUUCCAGGCCUGGAGCUGCACCCACCACCCCAGAUGCUCUCUGGGUUUCCAGCAGGCUGCCCCCUAGUGCCCACCUCCACCUCUCUGUUGGCCUCACGCUCACGAGUGCCCUAAUGGCAGUCCAGCUUCUAGGACUUCCUCUUACUCCAGAGAAUUUUGCUUGCCAUGGGAUUUGAAGGAGGAAAUGGUAAGUAUUAGGUGCAUGGCUCAGCAAUUUCAGGGUUCUGAUGAGCCAACGACUCCCUUCAGCCCCACCUAGCCGGGUCUGGCUCCCUGGGGGCGUCUGCGUGUGGCUGUGCUGUGGUCCUGAGAAGAGGGGCUUCCUGCUCUCUUCCAAACUCUAGUGGAGGCCCUGAGGGCUCUGACACCCGCCAUGCCCACCUGGGCCAGGCUGGGUGUGCCUCUGUCAUCCUAACCAGGAUGAAAACCUGCUGGACUGGACUGGCAGGGUGACUAUGCCAGCCCCCAGCAUGGGCACACCUGUUCUGUGUCCCUUCAGGCGGGUGCGGUAAAGCCUGGGCGGGUCCUGGAGCCCAGAAGCAGUGGCACAGAACAGGAACCUACUGUGAGUGCAGCCUGGGCCUCAGCCGGGAGGCACUCAUCGCCCUGCUUGUGGUGCUGGCGGGCAUCAGUGCCAGCUGCUUCUGCGCCCUCGUCAUUGUGGCAGUUGGCAUCAUGCGAGCCAAGGGGUGUGUGAGCCCCAGGGCUGGGGCGGGUGGAUGAGGGCCACAGGGCCAUACCACCUGCCCUGAGCCCUUGGUCUUGCUGGGAGAGGGGCCUCUGCUCCUGGGAGGGAUGCCACCAGGGGCUUGGGAAGGGCAAUUCCCAGAUUGCGGGUUAGGGGGAGGUGUAGAGGGCACCUCCGGGCUCCUGGAGGCUAGCCCCAUUCUUCUAGAACUCAUACCUACCUUUGUUUCCCCAGUGAAACACACCCCAGACACACAGAUAGCAGGUGAGUGACCCCAGGGGAGGAUCCCAGGAGUGAACUGCGUCCCUGCCCCUGUCCUCAGGAGGUGCAGUUCUCAGAGCACUCGACUGGAGUGCAGGGUCCAUACUGGGUGGUCAAGGCCUUGUGAGCCCGAGCUGAUGGCUGCCUGCAGCCAGCCCGACUGCCUGUGCCCUGCAGGUUGGUGGGGCACUUUGGGGCCCAGGAAGAGUGCAUGGACCUGCACGCAGUGCAUGUGGAGUCUCACGUUAUGGAUCCUGACCUGGAGGUCUCCACGACGCUGCCCCUGGAGGGUCAUGGCCUCAGGACCAUCCCCGUGGAUUCAGUGACCCUGGAGGAGCGGCGCCCCCCUCCCACCUGAGUAGGUUGUGGGCAGCUGGGAGAAUUAAAACAGUAGUUAGU